UCAAUGUUGGUACAUUCUCUUCGAAUGUUAUCAAUCUUUUUUUGGCGGGGUCAAACCUGCCAAAAAAUCCACUGUGAUCUGUCUCACGGGCUUUGCAAAAAGCCUGACAACCCUGACUCAGUCUUCGGAGUGAUCAGGGUAAGGGCCAUUUCUCUCGAGAGAUGGUUUCCUUAACACAAUAUACUUUAUGAAAUUCUUGAUUGAUCUUAAUUGAACAAAAAA
rnacentral:misc_RNA from 1 species